GGGUGUGGCCCCAAUGCAAUGGGCCCCCCAGCGGCCCAGAGACAAGGUGGGCGGUGCGUCGCAGAACCAGAAAGGAGCCACAGGCUGACCCCGGCUUUCUGUGUGGCUGGAGGGGGAGGCGGCCCCCUAGUGGCAAAGGUCCGCACAGGGCCGAAGUUCAACGAGUCCCAGAGACUAAAGGUGACCUUCCUGCCCUGGGUUCUGAUGCCUCCUCCCACGACCGGGGGCCGUGCCGGCUGGGGCUGCCCCAAGAUCUCCUGGAGCAGGAUGGCUUCCUCACUGUGGCCCCUCUGCAAACUUCACGCUCCUUACCUGCACUGACGCAAGAGCAACAGAGGAGUCAAUUGCCCCCAGCUGCUGAUAGCAAAUAACAUUGAUUAGCCGGCUCCUGCAAAGGGCGAUGUGUUACCUGCAGUCAACAGCGGUUUGGAAACGAGGGGUCCCCCUUCUGACGGAUAAUCAGAAAGUCACAAGUAGCCUAACACUACGUCGAAAUGCACACGUUGCUCCCUCACUUCGUCUCCUCACACAGGCAUUUUAUCAUCUCACAUCGUCACAAGAAAGGUCUAUACCAUCCAAUAUGGCAGCCACGACUCAUGUGUGCUAGUCCCAGUUGAGCAAGUAUAACGAGCACAUCGGCUUCUGAAGACUUAAUACAAAAAAAAAGGACAUGCAGUAUCUCAAUAAUAUUUUAUGUUGAUUACGUCUUGAAAUAGUACUGUUUUGGAUAGAUUUGAUUAA